UUGAAUUAAACCCUGGUCGGGUUGUUGCUGGCCUCUAGAGGCAUGUGCACGCCUGCCAUCGUUUUCAACCACCUGUGCACCUUUUGUAGACUUUUGGAUACCUUUCGGGGGGUCAAACUCCCGGCUUCGGGGGCUGCCGCUUGGCUUCCUUCGCAUUUCCGGUCUAUGCAUUUCAUACACUCCGUAAAGAAUGUAUUAGAAUGUCUUGUUAUUGGCCUCAGUGCCUUUAAUCAAAUA
rnacentral:misc_RNA from 2 species